GUACUAGGAUCAGUUACGAAAGUAAGGCCUAACGAUCCCUAAAUAGCCUCAGGUGCGUGAGGAUUGGGGUGACAGACAAGUUACCUCCGGGACAACUGGCUUGUGGCUGCUAAGAGAUCAAAUCAACGCAGCUUUUUGAUUCUUCGAUGUCGGCUCUUCCUAUCCUAGUGAUGUACAAGUUGCUAAGGGUCGGAUUGUUCACCCGUAUUAGGGAUCGUGAGCUGGGUUUAGACCGUCGUGAGCCAGGUUUGUUUUAUCCUACUGGAUAUAGCAUCAUGAUAGUAGAUUGAUUUAGUACGAGAGGAACUGUUGAUUAUGGCCUCUGGUUAGCGAUUAUCGGAAACGGUAUGUCGCGCAGCUACGCCGUCUGGGAUAAUGGCUGAAAGCCUCUUAAGCCAGAAGCCCAUCUAGAAAGUGAUGCACGUGAUGUUGGACCGAUACGAAUAAUCAUACUCAAAAGGUCCGCUUCAUAGGUAACCCAAUGUAGAAGACAUUGUGUGAACGAAGGUACUGUAAGCAGUGGAGUGGCAUUACGUCCACGACCUGUUGAGGUUCAGCUUCGCUUCUAGGUUUCC
rnacentral:ncRNA from 1 species